rnacentral:rRNA from 1 species
GAACGGAAUAUGUUGGAAGGGCUAACCGGAAGGCAUAUUUAGUGGCGAACGGGUGAGUAAUGCAUGAGAACGUAUCCUCAAGAGGGGGACAACAUUGGGAAACCGAUGCUAAUACCCCAUAAGCCGGGAGGUAAAAGGAGCAAUCCGCUUGAGGAGCGGUUCAUGUCCUAUCAGCUGGUUGGUGAGGUAACGGCUCACCAAGGCGAAGACGGGUAGCCGGCCUGAGAGGGUGAACGGCCACACUGGAACUGAGAGACGGUCCAGACUCCUAC